CCUGCCUCAGCCUCCCGAGUAGCUAGGAUUACAGGCAUGCACACCACGCCCGGCUAAUUUUGUAUUUUUAGUAGAGAUGGGGUUUCACCAUGUUGGCCAGGCUGGUCUCAAACUCCUGACCUCAGGUGAUCCACCCGCCUCGGCCUCCCAAAGUGCUGGGAUUACAGGAGUGAGCCACUGCACCCCGCCUGUUGUGAAUAGUCUUAAGGGGAGGCGUAGUGGGAUGUAAUGGGCUGGAGUCCUAGGCCACCACUUUUUAGCCAUGUGACCUUUGAGAUGAACUAUUAAACUUCAUCCCAGAAUCUUUCUAAAUUCUCCAAAGUUAAAGAUGAGAUUUAAUAGCUCAUCUAUUAAAGAUUUCUGGGAUGGCAUUCUUAAAAUUAAGAUUAGCUUCUGUUAAGGAAUUAGAAAACACCAGAGGUAGGGAAUGGUCCCUGUCACAUAUAGACAGCAUUUGCCCUAAACCAUGCUCUGGUCAAGAGGAGGCUGAGGACUUCUGAGCCAUUUGCCUCUCAUCAGAACGUCCUGGGUGUAGUGUCAGAGAGUGGCUGUAUUGGCUUGUCUGAACAGCUAGUGUGUUGCUUUGGUUUGAGCUGAAAGAUUGUUCUAACAAAGGUGCAUGGUGACUAUGGUCAGCAUAGGCGUUAGGAGAGGAGGGGCCGUCUGUGCACACUGUCCUGGGUGUGCCCAUCCUCAGGAGCUCAGCUGUGUAGUGUGUGGCAGCCUGUCCCCCUGACUCCCGCCGGUGAGGUUCACAGAUGGUCAGAGCUCCCAGGUGCGGCUCUAAAGCUCUGGCUCUGCUGCCGUGGCCCCAGGCAACCUGGCUGGCUCAUGGGCUUCAGCUUCUCACAUGUGGAAGAGCACAGAUCAUCCUUCACCCCAGUAUCCCGGUAGCUGACCUCAGACUUUCUGAGUGUGAGUUGACUUGAGUAGCCCUGAGAUGCUGACGUCCUCUGAGUACAUCAACAACAGGGAGUUUCUGGGCUGCAGGCUGAGAACCCGUGUUUGUCACAAGGCGGCCCCACAGAGUUACCACCACUCUAAGGCCCUGCCAGAGCCAGCAACAGAUUAUUCCAGAAGGCACCUGUCUCCCAAUCACCUUCUCUAUCUGGAACAACACCUCCCUCAGGGUUGGGUAAAGUAUUAAAUAUCUGUGCCUUGCAUACACUCACUCAGUGCUCAACAAAUGCUGGUUCUUUCCCAGUUUCUGUAAUCUGUAUGACCUAUCUUGACCAAGAGAUUGUCAUCAUCCUGAGGCCCGGGGCCCAGGCUGCUGUUGCGCUGGCCUCUCUCCCUCACUCUCCAGUAAGCCCUGUCCCAGGCUGGCCUCUCCCUCCGGGGCUGUCUUAUCCACGCUUGGGCUCCAACCACCUUGACCCUUCUCCACCUGUCAGUCACGCCCCAGGUGUUCCCUGAGUCACGCAACAGCUAUAUAGUAGCUCCGCAGACCAACAGCAGGCCGACAGCGUAGCACCUGAGUUCUAGAUCUACCACUGUUCAUGCGGGACCUGGCAUAAAGCAUUCCCACGUCUCGGCCUCCAUUUCCCCAUCUGUGAAACGAGAGCACUGGUCAGCUCUUCACAUGCAGCGUUUGUGGGAUGAAUCCUUCCAUCUGUCCAUCCAUCCCGCCAACAUCCAUGCACAAACAUUUAGCACCUGCUGCAUGCUGUCAGGGACUAUGGCAGGAAAAGAGUUGAAACAGACACGUCCCAGGCCUCCAGCCCCUCACACCACGGAGAGGAAACAGAUGCCCGCAAAGGAGGAGGCACCCCUCAGGGGGCCAGCGCUGCGACACGGUGGAGGCAGGGAGGCCGUCUCUAAGCAGCCUGCGAGUCCCCGCGCUGCACCGUGGCUUUGAGGAGUGGCGGGGGCCGAGGGGCCGGUCUCUCUUCCGGGGGAGAUUCCUCCCCUCACCCCGGCAUUACUCAGCGCCCUGAACUGUCUGCCUCCCUCCAGCCGGCCCUCCUCGUCUUCCUGGAGCGCAGCACAAAGGUCCUGUUGUGGCCGCGGCCCGGGCCGCGGGCGAGCCUCUCUGGAUGGUGGUGACUCAGUCUCUUGCCAUUUCCUUUGUGCGGCUCCGGGGCUCCUCGCUGGGAGCGGAGUGUGUCUGCAGGGCUGGGGGCGGGAGCCGGGACCCACAGCCCGACAGCGAGCCUUUCAUGUGGGCAGGGGGCUUCCCGCACGCAAUGCGAACCUACGCCUGGAGCUUCCCAAAGACAGCGUCCGGCGCAGGAACGCGAGAUGCUGGCCGCCUCGCCUCUGGCCCCCGCGAGCAUCAAAGCGCGUGCCGUCGAGGGGGCACGUGUCCCCCAUCGGGCGCGCCUCUGCUCCUAGUCCCCUGAAUGAACACAUCCUUAUGAAAAGUGGAAAUUAGCCGCCGAAGGGAAGGGCCCGGAGAGCUUGGGAAGCGACCUAGGCUGCCAGCCUCCCGGCGGGUCUUUGGUCCCAGCUCUGAUGACCUGUCAGCAGCCGCAGGACCUGCGCUUAAAGGCGCCUCUCCAGGCCUGGCUCAGGGUGGGGCUCCUCGUGCUCAGCACCCUGGUCAAGGUUAGGGCUGGGUGUGCGCUGGAGGCUUGGAGUGCCAGGGCACCCAGUGAAGAGCGAAUGAAUGAACGAGUGAACACCGGACUGGGGGCCUGCAGACGGUUCUUCGCAGGUUAAUUAGAAGGCCUCUAGCAAGCUGCAGCGGAGGCAUUUCAGGCAUCCUUCAGAGAGGACCCUCGGCCUGGCUCCUAAGGGCCCCUGGUCUGGCUCUCACCCCCUGCUCUGGUGGCAUUUCUGCUCACUCAGCCUUUACCCUUUACACGCCAGCCGCUCUGAACAGUUUAUUCUUCUGGGAGCACAUCAUGUUCUUGCUCACAUCCAGGUUUUGCGUAAGCUGUUCCUGCUGCAAGGAAAACCCUUCCUGUGUCCUCCUCAGGUGAGAGCUCCCGCAGGCAGCUUCUCCCCGGAGUCUGGCGUAAGUGUUCCUCCUCUGCACGCCUCUGAGGACAUUUGCAAAGGUCUGUCAUAGGGCUUACCACCCCGUUACCUGUUUGUUUCCACCAGGGAGUGCGCUGAAGCUGAGAGGGAAUGAGUGAGUGAAUGAAGGGCUUGAGAAAGGAAAUUUCUUCACCCUCCAGUGCCCUCUGGGUGGGUAUUGAGACAAGCUCUACAGGAAGCCUAAGAAAACUAACUGCUCUAAUUCUGUCCUUCCUUUUGCAAUGUUUAGGCAACUCCUGUGCAUCUGUAGGUACCAUUGUGAGGUUACUGCCCUGGACUGGGGAGAGAUCCACACACGCAAGAGUGCAUCUGGCAUCAGUAUCUCUCUUCCUGUCAACCCUGGCAUUGCCUUUGUUGGCUACUGAGAGAAGACCAGAAAUAUCCAUCUAGUCAGACUUGCCUGCUCCUGGGAAGAAAACAAAAAUGCAAAGAAAAGGUUCUCAGGGAGAUUGAGCCAACCUGGGAGUGGCCCUCAGCUCCUCCAGUCCCCAGAGACCCAUGCUCUGCAGCAUCCAAGGGGCUCCUGUGAAACUGUUGGGAGGCCAAUGACACUCUGUCCCACGUUGUGGAUCUAUUUUGUGGUCUCUGUAUCCUUCACUGCUUUUUGUGGACAUUAUUGUAUUAGAUUCCUUUGGAAAUGAUGAUCCAGCUAAUGGCCAGUUAGUAGGAAACAUCACGACCCUCCCCCCAAAUUCCAGCCUCUUGCUGAAAGGGUGGGGCCUGGGAAAUCAUAUGGUAUUGCUCCUGGUCACCACAGACCAGUGGUGGCUUUGGGCCAAAUUCUGGCCCAGCCAAUCCCCCCCACCUUUUUUUUUUUUUGAGAGAGAGAAUUUGAGGUAAGAGACACAGAGACUCAGGUUAGGAGGAUGCUUGAACUGAAAGGUCCUGAGACAGCAGGACAGGAGCUAGUACCAUGCAGAACACAGCAGGAGCCACAGGCAAGCCUGAACUGUGGGAGAGAGAAAACGAAGGGCCUUCCAGAGAGGUCCAGUCUGCCAAGAGGAGAAGAGAGUUGACACGCAGAAAGAGUUAGGGGUGACAAGAACCCCCGUAGCCCCUUGAAGGACACAGAGAGGAGAUCUUUUUUGUUCUUUUGUGAUUCAUCCUUUCUCACUUCCUGUCCUUGGAGGUCAACAACAGACCCCUGUAUCCUUUUAAUAAUCCCUCUUUUCAUUUGAAAUUGUUCCAGAGGGUACCUGAUCCUUGUUGCCAGCAUGCCCUGAAUAAGAAAAAUGCUCAAACCAAACACUGAGUCUACUGAGUCUAUGUGAAUUAAUUCUUGGAAUUCCUUGGCUCAAUUCAAUAAACAUUUCAUGCACAAUUUUUGUGUGCCAGGUGCUAGAGGCAUUCUGAGAAAAACUGAGACCCAGGAGCUGUCCUCAGAGAGUCCAGUAAGAUGUGGUCUGAUAAGACAUGUUUCCAUAUACCCAGAAUACAAGGUAGUUUGCUAGGAGCACUGCAAGAGAAACGCAGAUGGAAGGCUGGAGUGUGUACUGCCACUGUGGAAGCAGGAGGGGCUUGAGGGAAGAGGGCCUUCAAGAAUGGGUGGAAUCUAAUAUUGGAAAGGGGAGGAAGAGUGGAAAGUAUAAGAAUCAGAAGUCUGGUUGCAGGAUGGGGCAUGAUAUGGGUGGGACACUGUAAACUGCACAGCGUGGAAGGAAUAUGGAGUUUAGAGGAAUAAUGUUAGAUGAGUCUGUAAGACGGGCUUGACUGGGAUUAUGAAGGGCCUUAAAGGUCAAGCCAAAUUUGUUAUCAUAGAAUCAUAAGAAGGAGAAGAGCCUUAGCUGUUGUCUAGUCUAACUUAGGUAAUUUGGUUCCAGUUCCUCUUAAGGUGGCCACCAUGACAGACUGAAUCUCAAGUACUCAUCUGAGAUACAGUCAUUUCAAUGGUAGUGACUCAGAAUUUACUUUUCUUUUUUUUUACCCCAGCAAAAUAUUUAUUUUAGAAAAUAGGAUUAUAUUAUUUGUUGCUCUCCAACUUGCUUUUUUUGGACAUCUUGGACAUCUUUCUCUACCAGUACAUAUAGUUCCAUUUCCUUCUUUUUAUUUUAUUUACUUUAUUAUUUUUGUAGAGAUGAGGUCUUGCCAUGUUGCCUAGGCUGGUCUGGAACUCCUGGGCUCAAGAGAUCCACUCACCUUGGCCUCCCAAAGUGCUAGGAUUACAGGCGUGAGCCACUGCAGAUAUUUUUAUUUUUUAUUUUCAUUUAUUUCAAUAGUUUUUGGGGAGCACGUGGUUAUUUGAUUACAUGGAUAAGUUCUUUAGUGGUGAUUACCGAGAUUUUGGUGCACCCAUCACCCAAGCAGUGUACACUGUACCCAAUGAGUAGUCUUUUAUCCCUCGUCCUCCUUCCCCGCUCCCCUCACGUCCCCAAAGUACAUUGUAUCUUAUGCCUUUGCAUCCUCAUGAGAUUACUUUUCUAUCUUUAACAACUUAAGAGUUCUUUCCAGAAGAGUCCUCUUACUACGAGGAAGAGUGUUAGAGCACAGGGAACUGGGCCUAGAGAGUCUGCAGCAAAUUGUCUCAAAUAGCAGCUUAAAAAGGUAAGGAACAGAAAAGAAACACUCUCUAUCUAUGUGCUGGCCUCAGGCACAGUGCUUCUAGAUGGUAGAACAUCUGUGAAGUAGAAAUUACAAUCACUUUUCAGGUGAGAAAACAGGAGCUGUAGGGAGGAGUCGGACAGGUCCCCAGGCCCAGCAACUAUACCAGGUGAGGCAGGAAUGUGGCCUCGUGUUGACCAGAUUCCACAGCCACGGGCUUCCAUCCCUCUUCUCUGCUUGCUUUAAGACUAACCACCCUGGCUUCAAGUAAGUAUCACUCACAAAGGAAUUUCAAAAAGACAUGCACAUAAAUUAAUGGCUGAUGGCUGUAGGUGGUCGUAUGGGAGGAACCGAUUAUAACAUUGUAUGAACUUAGCAAAGCUCUAAACCAUAGCACAGACAUUUGGCAAAAUGGUUACUCUUUUUCAAUCAUCCAAGGACUCAGUUUAUAAUAAGCCUUGAGCGAGUCCCUAAAUUCCAAAGCCCUUAGCAUCUUCCAGGACCCUCUUGAGACCACACAGUGCUUCCAGCUUCCGGAAACAGCAGAUGCUAUUGCUUCCAUGAGCAAUGUCAGCAUUUAAUACACAAGGGGGAACAGAGAAAGAAACCUAUAUGGAUGGGGAGCAGGGAGGAGGGGCAGCACUGGAUCCUCUCCUGGGCCCUGUCCAGCUCGACAUUCCUGAACAGAGCGUGCUGUUCCCUCUCCUGAUGUUGGCAGCUUAGAAUGCAGGAGCCUUAGAUGGGUGGCCUGGAAGGGAGGCCAGCAGGGAGAGGUGACCUGGAAGUGAGGAAGCUCAGGAGGGACUGAUGGUAAUUGGAGGGGCAGGCAGAGAGAGGCAGAUGAAGAAACAGCCGAGGCCUGUGUGAAGGCUGGACCCAACCUGCGUCCAAGCAGAAAGUCCAGAGAACUUAGCACAGCUUCCAAAGCUUCAGAGUACAUCAGAACUACUUGGGAAGUGCGUCAAACUCUGGUUCCUAGGGAAAUCCUCAGAGAUCCUGCAUCUGCGAUGAGGCCCAGAAGUGGUUUUUGUGACCAGUUCCAAGGCGACUUCAUACAGGCAGUCCUUGGGGACACUGGUGACAGGAUUUCCCUCUCUGGACCUUGGUGUCCUGCUCUGUAAAUAAAGGGGUUUGUCAAAGACGGUUUCUGCUUUCUCUGUCAGCUCCAACAUACAGCUUCUCAAAAGCUUCCAAAAAUCCCCUUACCCAAGCUUGCAGCCCUCAUCACCUGUCUCAAG
rnacentral:lncRNA from 1 species